GACGAACGCUGGCGGCGUGCUUAACACAUGCAAGUCGAACGAUGAAGCGGGUGCUUGCACUCGUGGAUUAGUGGCGAACGGGCGAGUAACACGUGAGUAACCUGUCCUUUUCUUUGGGAUAACGGCUGGAAACGGCUGCUAAUACUGGAUAUUCAGGCUGCAUCGCAUGGUGUGGUUUGGAAAGGUUUUUUCUGGGAUUGGGUGGGCUCGCGGCCUAUCAGCUUGUUGGUGGGGUGAUGGCUUACCAAGGCUUUGACGGGUAGCCGGCCUGAGAGGGUGGUCGGUCGCACUGGGACUGAGAUACGGCCCGGACUCCUACGGGAGGCAGCAGUGGGGAAUAUUGCACAAUGGACGAAAGUUUGAUGCAGCGACGCCGCGUGGAGGGUGUAGGCCUUCGGGUUGUGAACUCCUUUUUCUCGCGAAAAAGGCACAGUUUUGGCUGUGUUGAUGGUAGUGGGGGAAGAAGCGCCGGCUAACUACGUG
rnacentral:rRNA from 1 species